GCUGAAAUAGCUCAAAUGGUAGAGCAACGCCCUCGUACUGCGUAGGUUCCCGGUUCAAAUCCGGGUUUCAGCUCCA
rnacentral:tRNA from 1 species